rnacentral:rRNA from 1 species
UAGGGAAUCUUCCGCAAUGGACGAAAGUCUGACGGAGCAACGCCGCGUGAGUGAAGAAGGAUUUCGGUUCGUAAAACUCUGUUGUUAGGGAAGAAAAAAUGUAUAGUAACUAUAUACAAAAGAGACGGUACCUAACCAGAAAGCCACGGCUAACUACGUGCCAGCAGCCGCGGUAAUACGUAGGUGGCAAGCGUUGUCCGGAAUUAUUGGGCGUAAAGCGCGCGCAGGUGGUUUAGAAAGUCUGAUGUGAAAGCCCACGGCUCAACCGUGGAGGGUCAUUGGAAACUAAUAAACUUGAGUGCAGGAGAGAAAAGUGGAAUUCCUAGUGUAGCGGUGAAAUGCGUAGAGAUUAGGAGGAACACCGGUGGCGAAAGCGGCUUUUUGGCCUGCAACUGACUCUGAGGCGCGAAAGCGUGGGGAGCAAACAGG